GACGAAUGCUGGCGGCGUGCUUAACACAUGCAAGUCGAACGGAAAGGCUCUGCUUUUGUGGGUUGCUCGAGUGGCGAACGGGUGAGUAACACGUGCGUAACCUGCCCUUUACUUUGGGAUAACUUCAGGAAACUGGGGCUAAUACCGGAUAGGAGCUCCUGCUGCAUGGUGGUGGUUGGAAAGUUUCGGCGGUUGGGGAUGAACUCGCGGCUUAUCAGCUUGUUGGUGGGGUAGUGGCUUACCAAGGCUUUGACGUGUAGCCGGCCUGAGAGGGUGACCGGCCACAUUGGGACUGAGAUACGGCCCAGCCUCCUACGGGAGGCAGCAGUGGGGAAUAUUGCACAAUGGGCGGAAGCCUGAUGCAGCAACGCCGCGUGCGGGAUGACGGCCUUCGGGUUGUAAACCGCUUUCGCCUGUGACGAAGCGUGAGUGACGGUAAUGGGUAAAGAAGCACCGGCUAACUACGUG
rnacentral:rRNA from 1 species